AAAGAGGAUAGAGGCGCGGUACGCAUGCGUACCCCGGGACAAGGCCAGGCAGCCGUCCCGUGGGGAGAGGGCGCACCGCCGAAGGUUGCUUCGCCUGCCUGGGCACGGCUUCCUGGGCCGUACGGAAACACCGUGCGGACUGUCACAGCAUGUGGAGCGCUAUCCUGAGG
rnacentral:ncRNA from 2 species